UACGGGGGGGGCAAGCGUUGUUCGGAAUUACUGGGCGUAAAGGGCUCGUAGGCGGCCAACUAAGUCAGACGUGAAAUCCCUCGGCUUAACCGGGGAACUGCAUCUGAUACUGGAUGGCUUGAGAUUGGGAGAGGGAUGCGGAAUUCCAGGUGUAGCGGUGAAAUGCGUAGAUAUCUGGAGGAACACCGGUGGCGAAGGCGGCAUCCUGGACCGAGAUCGACGCUGAGGCGCGAAAGCUAGGGGAGCAAACGGG
rnacentral:rRNA from 1 species